AAGAAGGAAAAAUGUUCUAUUAUAUUAUAUUUAUCAUAAUAUAAAUAUCUUCAGAUACUCAAGACUUGAAAUUGAAACGUUAUUCUAAGCCGUAUGUUUAGGAAGCAUCAUUCAUUUCAUUUUCAGGUACAACAGUUACUCGCAUCAACACGUGUCCCACCUAUGCCCUUUGACCAAAGUGGCAGGAGCAAAAGCCUUUGCUCGAUCCCUCUCGGACUGCAGCUUCCGCAAAAUCCCUAUCUAUGCUUGCGGUCUCUGUCCCUUUCCCUUUCUCUUGACCCUCUUGAAUGCUUCGCAUCCUCUUCCCACUCUGCUGGCGGUGGGGGCGAGGGCUCGUACCUCGAUGGCUUCCUCUUGAAAUGCCUUUCAUCAUCACUCGACUCGUAGUCCAUGGCUGCAGCACUGCUAUUCUUCUUGCCUCCACCACCAGCGGACACAGAUGUGACCUUCACAGAGGACGAUUCAUGGUAUCCAUUAGCUGAUGACGAAGAUUUGUGAUGAGCAGAUGUUGCUGAGGGACCACCAGCUACCGCCGCAGGGGCUUCACCUGAGGAAGAGAGCUUGCGCUUCUUUGUGGUGAGCUCUUCUUCUGGAAAGCUAAUGCGGGAGAAAACACUUGCUUUCUGUUUGCGGUCUGUUAUUGUUGAUGAAGCUGGUUUAGCAGUGGUCUCAAAUAAAGCUUUUGCAGAGGGUUCAGAACGGUGGUGGUGACGAUGGUGGUGGUCGCGUUCACCUCUGUCUCGGUCUUGGUCAUAGCCGUCAUAAUCGUAAUCACGAUCUCUGUCACGGUCGCUUCUCUCGUGGUCAGAUUUUCUUUUGAGAGGGCGAGGUGGCAGAGGUUCAAGGUUACGAGCUGAGCGCUCAGGGGAGGACCUCUCAGGUCGAUGAUGGUUGUGAAGAUAAGGAUCGCCGCUCAAUGAUUGCGGAAUAGACUUAGAUUUCACUGAAGAAAUAUCACCCCCGCUGCUCACUUCUCUCCCAAAUUCCCGAUCUCUAGGAAACUCCCUUUCAGCUCGCCUCUCAUUUUCACGCCGCCUCCUCAAAUCAGCUUUUCGAGCCUCAAAUUCCUCCCUGCUCAUUGCUGGAGGUCCAGCAUUCAUACCCAUUCCAAAUUCUGCAAGAUCCCUCUGCGGGGGUACAACUGGCAUCAUAUAACCUUGUGCAGCAAAAGGGUCUGGAGGUAUCAUGCCCCCAAAUGGCACAUCCAAAGGGCCCAUUCCAUAACUCAUGAAGGGCAUGGGACUGACAUAAGGAUUCAUAUAACCUUCCAUACCAGGCUGCAUGCCACCCCAAUAAGGAUUAUAGGGGGCGGGGCCAAGAGGCAUCAUAUAACUUUCAGCUGUGAGAUCUUGAGAUACUUUCCACAAAUCGUUUGGAGGCAUGCGAACCUUCUUCUUUUUCUUUUUCUUCCCUGCCUCACCAGGAACCAGCUUCUGCUGCACUUCCUCCUCAGCCAGUGGAGCACUACCUUGUGAUGCUAGCUCCUUCACACUCAUUGAUUCAAGGGUAGCCUCAGAUACAUCAGCUGCUUUGGCAGUCCUCGGUUUUUCAGGGAACUGCUGUAGGAUAACAACAGGCUUCUCCUCAUGCACUGGUUCCUUCCUAUUUGGAUUUGGGGUUUCUGCAUUAUCAGGAGAAGGCUUCUGCUCUUCCUUAGAUGCAGCAGACUGUGUGGGUGAUGGAAUCUUAGGCUGGGGAUUGCGAGCAGACUCCAUAUCUUGAACUUGAAAGGUGCUUCCGGCAUUUUCAGCACUACUGUUACCAGAUUCCAAAAUACGGUUGAUUGUAUCCCUAAGUGUCUUAUUUGGAAGAAGAUCAUCUGCAAGAAUGUUUGUCGCCCCACAUACACACUUUGCCUUUGAGAUGAUAUAAUCUCUUAUACACUUAUCACAAAAGCUCUUGAAACAACAUUUGCUUGUUAGCACAGCAUCUUUCAUAACUUCCUUGCAUAAAGGGCAGUGAAGCUCUGGUGGGAGAUCACCAACAGACCGUGUAGAAGGUAAGCCUUCAAUUUCCUUCUCAAAAGCAGCCUCAUUAGGCUUCAAAACAGCAACUGCACCACUAGGUAAUGCAUAUGAACCAUCAGGGGUUGCCAUCAGCAUUGACUUUGGAAUGCCAGUAGGAGGUUUUACUCUCUUGAUAUCAUAGUUUGGAUCACCAUUUGUAGGACAAUGCUGAAUAAAAUGCCCUGGUACCUUGCACCUGUGGCAUACGUAGCCCUGUGGAGGUGUUUUCUUCUCCAACCCUAAUCGACCAAAGCCACGUCCACCCAUUCUUCCACCCAUACCCCUUCCAAAGCCUCUACCAGGGCCAAAUCCAUCAGCACCUUGACUACAAAUUCGGGUGGAAAUUUAACAAGACUAUAAAAUUAAUUUCCAAACACAAUAACAAUCAAAAUAUUAUCAAAAUACAACAGAAGCACACUAACCGUUGCCAGUCCAAGGCUGGAGUAUCAAUCAAAGCCUUAAUCUUGCUGUCUUCAUCAGCCUUAUUUGUAGGGGGCGCAUCAGGAACCGCAUUGCUAGACUGAACUAGUGGUGCUUCAGGAAUUGCAUAUAAGUCAUUUCCAAACUCAUCCCAUUCUGUGUCUUCAGUAUCUUUCAUGGCAGAUAAAUCGGCGGCCAUAAAAGUACUCUUCUCUAGUGAGGUAUCCUCCACCUUAUUUUCCAUCUUUGGCUCUUGCUCAGUAACAAUAGGCAUGCGAGGUCUUCCUGGAACCCGACGAAUUAACACAGAGGUAUUUUUUGGGAUUAACAUUGCUUCAUCAAGAUAUUCUUCAUUAGUUUGGGCGUUAGUGACCACAAGGUCGAAGUCGGUGCCCCUGCCCAAGUGCUUUGAUUCAAAAAUUUUUUCUUUCAAAGUACCGACCGAAAUAAAUGGACCGUCCAUUGGGAUUGAAUCGUAGUCUCUUGCACUCUUAAACUUGUAAUAUACAGCCAUUGAUUUUUUUACGAAAUUUUAUAAAAAUUGAAAAUGAAAAGAAUAGCACACAAAAAACCUAGUAGAAAUUAUUAGCAAUCAAAGGCCCGCCAAACAAAAAAAUAGGCCUGAUAUUGAACUCAACUCAAAAGCAAAAAUAUAACAGUACAAAGUUGAACUAUUUUUUUUCUCUAUCUUCUUCAAGUACUCAAGAAAGAUCAAUCAAACCAACUAAUGAAGAACUCUUCAAAGCUUCCUUCUUAUUCAAAGUCAUGGAAGUCCAAACAAUCAAAAAUUGCUUUGCUCUAUGCAGAAGAAAGACCAAAAAGAGCUUUACAGCAGCAAUAGGUGCUUGAAAUUCAUAGCACCCAAACAAUUCAUUCGACUCCGGGCAAUCCCAGGGUUUUUCAAUGAGAAUUCGCAGAUCGCAUCAACACGCGGAGAAAACCCCAAUCUUCAAUUUGGAGGGGCCAAAACAAGGGAAUCAAAUAAAACACCACCGAUCCAAAUCUUCAAUAAACAAUCCGAUAAGCCAACACCUGCCAGAGAAAAAUCCUCGCUCGCCGAUUGAAUAAUCUCGAUUAGACAGGUAGAGAGAUAGCGAUCUUGAAGACGCUCCUUUCAGCGAUGAAAAAAACGAAACAUGUCCGUCCAGAAAACAGAGAAAAUGGAGAGAUUCAAAUAAGUUGCUGGAAGAAUUUCAAGUGCCUGAGCAAGAACAGCGAGUGGCAAUCAUCGUGAGCUAGGGUUUGUAGAGCUGAAAAGGACGAGAGAGAGAGAGAGAGAGA
rnacentral:misc_RNA from 1 species